AACGAACGCUGGCGGCAUGCCUAACACAUGCAAGUCGAACGAGACCUUCGGGUCUAGUGGCGCACGGGUGCGUAACGCGUGGGAACCUGCCCUUAGGUUCGGAAUAACUCCCCGAAAGGGGUGCUAAUACCGGAUAAUGCCUUCGGACCAAAGAUUUAUCGCCUUUGGAUGGGCCCGCGUUGGAUUAGCUAGUUGGUAGGGUAAAAGCCUACCAAGGCGACGAUCCAUAGCUGGUCUGAGAGGAUGAUCAGCCACACUGGGACUGAGACACGGCCCAGACUCCUACGGGAGGCAGCAGUGGGGAAUAUUGGACAAUGGGCGAAAGCCUGAUCCAGCAAUGCCGCGUGAGUGAUGAAGGCCUUAGGGUUGUAAAGCUCUUUUACCCGGGAUGAUAAUGACAGUACCGGGAGAAUAAGCGCCGGCUAACUCCGCG
rnacentral:rRNA from 1 species